rnacentral:snRNA from 1 species
AGAUUUUAACCCGCGGUACACCG